CAAAGUUCAGGCGAGAAACAAGCAGAAACAAAACGUAUAUGAGCUGACAUGCUGCCAAGCUGCCUCUUGUACUCUCAGGGCAGUUGGUAGGUUUUCCCAUAGUGCUCAUAUAAUUGAAACACUGCACAGAUGUUAAGGAAGAGUUUGCAGAACAAGAGAGAAACCUGGCCUGCUCACGAGAAGCAUCCUCACAUCCAAAAAGCAAACAACCCACAUUAUGGGAAUUCUUACGCCAAUAAAAGCAUAUCAAAACAGGGUGAAAUGACACUAACAAAGCCUCAGAUAAGAGAAAAACAGUAAAUGCAAAGUCUGUGCCUUAAACCUGGUGAGAUAAGGAUGUGAGUUAUUACCCUUCGCACUUAUAAGUCUAAAGCAACAGACUCCAGGCUAGAGUGAGGACCUAGUCAGUCCAUGUGAAGAGUGUGAGAACAGUGGGGUCUGCAGCUACAAAAUUCUUUUCUGCACAAAAGAGGUUAUAAGGAAUGUUUAUUCCCAUACCCUGACCUCUCCUUAACCAUCACAAUCCCAGCAAAGGCUACUCUUAGAGUCUCUUACCAGCGUGAGAGAAGAAUAAAAUGUGAACUAGAGGAGAUAUCCUUUGAGAGUCAAACUAUAAUUGAAGGCACGUGUAAAACAAAAGUGAUGUUGGAAAGUCUGAAACUCUCUGAAGUCUAUGGGCUAUGGAGCAUCACCCCAAAUGCUGUGGAGAGAAUGCCCAUCACUUCGCAUAUUGAAAGACAACAAACCCUGUUUAGUUAACUCACUGAUUAGCAAAUGGGAGAGCAUGUCAGUCCACCUUGGGAACUACAUCCUUCCCUUGUUUAUUCUUGUACAACAUCAUUGACUUUAAUAGAGUUAACAGGCUCUGGCAGCAGGGAAAGGGUCUGGCUGCUCCCCACUGGGAGAGCCCUUCCCUGCUGCCCGAGACUUUCACUUCACCAGGGAAAGGUUUCAGGAGAUAGGAAUCAGCAGGACCCUUCACUGCUAUAAGUAGCAGUGUAGAUGUGAGAGGAACUGUUUGGUCAUAGAGAGCCUGCAGGGCGCUCUAUGUGUGUGUAGGGCACUCUACUUGCCUAAACUGUGUCUCACUGUUUACAACUGCCAUUUAUACCCAUGCUAGCAGGGUAUAAACACUCUACACACUGCCAUAAAUGUAGGCGUAGCCUUUGAGUAGUGGGCUUGUGAACUGGUCACCUCUGGCAGGACCUAGGGUUCUUAGAAGGGAAGAAUCUUUCCUGGUAAGCUUGUAGCAGCUACAAUAACCCCAGGGCUGCCUGCAUCCCCCUUCAAAGGGAAGAUUGGCCCUGCCCAUUUUCUAUACCAGAUCCCAUUGUGUUUCCCUGUGCAGAGCAGCCCCAUUGAACUCUGUUCUGUGUUGACAGGGAGUGUUCACCUGCUCUAUGAUCUUCCAAACCAGUAUUUGUCCCAUAGUUAUCUAUUUUUUCUUUCUAGAACAAUUUCGUUUUAAGCUGAGGUUUGCUGUAACCAGAAUAGCAAUGGGAACAUUGCCCUACAUUUGGGACUUGCAUUUGCUUCACUGUGUUUGAGUUCUUGCUAAAUGGCCUUCACUGUACAAAGUUUCUUACAACUUUAGUUUUAUGAUUCUGCAUUUCUGAUUGUGUCAAAAAUUUACAGUAAUAGAAAGCGAUACAAUAGCAAGGCCAUGUAGCACUUAGGAGAUACCCUUGAUACAGUAGUGUUUACAUCCCUUUGAAUAAAAUAUAGUUGACAGGCAUAAAUAAGAAUAGUUACAAAUAUUAAAAAUGUAUAUAUAGAAAUGUAAGUUACCUUUGGACCUUGGUUAGUGUGAAUGAUUGCCACUUUUCUAACAGAAUUGUUCUAUGAUUCUUUUUUUCUCCAGUCAAAAAAACCUAGAAAAAGUCUAUUCUUGUUUUACAUGCAGAAAUUUUGAUUCUGUUCCAGAGUAAGAAUUUUAGAUCAAUAGCAAUAACACACACCUUAGUUACCAAUGUUAGAGCCUCACAUGAGGGUACCACUAUUGGCAGAGUAACCAAUGACUACUUUCUUUUUUUAAUGGCACUGAAAAGCAGAUUUUCUUUUGAAAUGUACAAAAAUUGUGAGAUGGGGUAUAAUGACAGCCUUCUGCUGCCUGGGUUAGGGAGGCAAGCUGAUAGCAGUAAAUGAGAUGACUGGCAUAGUGCAGUUUUUCCCUCUGUGUCUGCAAAGUGUGGGAAAGGGCAAGGGCAUGAAAUAUAAUGUUGUGAGUUUUUGAACAUUGGUUUCUGCUGGAAAUCAUUUAAGGGGAUCAGCAUGCGUGCAUGGUCAUCUCGAGUGGUAUCUAAAGGGGAUGAAAUGCUAAAUGAAA